rnacentral:rRNA from 1 species
CACCGGCGGCUCGAGUGGUAACCGUUAUUAUUGGGUCUAAAGGGUCUGUAGCCGGCCGGAUAAGUCUCUUGAGAAAUCUGGCAGCUUAACUGUCAGGCUUUCAGGAGAUACUGUCUGGCUCGAGGCCGGGAGAGGUGAGAGGUACUUCAGGGGUAGGGGUGAAAUCUUGUAAUCCUUGAAGGACCACCAGUGGCGAAGGCGUCUCACCAGAACGGACCUGACGGCAAGGGACGAAAGCUAGGGGCACGAACCGGAUUAGAUACCCCCGUAGUCCCUGAGCGGGCU